GGAGGAUGCGAGCGUUAUCCGGAUUUAUUGGGUUUAAAGGGAGCGUAGANGGGCUUUUAAGUCAGUUGUGAAAUUNUGCGGCUCAACCGUANGACUGCAGUUGAAACUGGNANCCUUGAGUGCAGUUGAGGUGCANGGAAUUCGUGGUGUAGCGGUGAAAUGCUUAGAUAUCACGAAGAACUCCGAUUGCGAAGGCAGUGCACCAAGCUGUAACUGACAUUGAUGCUCGAAAGUGUGGGUAUCAAACAGGAUUAGAUACCCUGGUAGUCCACACGGUAAACGAUGAAUACUCGCUGUUGGCGAUAUAUUGUCAGCGGCCAAGCGAAAGCNUUAAGUAUUCCACCUGGGGAGU
rnacentral:rRNA from 1 species